GACGAACGCUGGCGGCGUGCCUAAUACAUGCAAGUCGAACGCAGUGGGGACGGGUGAGUAACACGUGGGUAACCUCCCAUCAGAGGGGAUAACACUUGGAAACAGGUGCUAAACCGAUACUGAAGGCUGGACCCGCGGUGCAUUAGCUCGUUGGUGCGUUAACGGCUCACCAAGGCCAAGAUGCAUAGACGACCUGAGAGGAUGAUCGGCCACACUGGGACUGAGACACGGCCCAGACUCCUACGGGAGGCAGCAGUAGGGAAUCUUAGGCAAUGGACGAAAGUCUGACCGAGCAACGCCGCGUGAGUGAAGAAGGUUUUCGGAUCGUAAAACUCUGUUGUUAGAGAAGCGGUAUCUAACCAGAAAGCCACGGCUAACUACGUGCCAGCAGCCGCGGUAAUUC
rnacentral:rRNA from 1 species